rnacentral:lncRNA from 1 species
CACUGUAAGUCUACUUGAGAUCCAAAGGAUUUGCCUUUGUGGAGUUUGAAGCAAAAACAAAAGAAGCAAAAUCUACUGAAGUAGUUCAGAUCCUAAAAAGAAAAAAAAUGCAAAAAAUUUAACAAGUAUUAUAAAUAGUAAAGCUUUUUUUGCAAUCAUUUCGGUUUUUUAUCAACCCACCAGAAGCAGCACCAAAGAAAACUGGCAUGUUCUCUAAGAGUGAAAACUAAACCUAUUUUGCUCUUUAAUAACUGUAGUUGAAGGAAACUGAAAUUAAUGAUAGCAUUGUUACAGAAGAAAAGGAAAGGAAAAAUAAGAAGAAAGGCUGAAUGACGGAAGACAAUGGCCAGGCUAAAAAGUUAAUAUUGACACAGGCAAUACAAGCAUCUGCAAAAGGAAAAAAUUGAGAACUACAUCUGGAGGCUCUGAAAUAGAUACUACUAAACCUCAAAAGCAACCUUUAAAGGUAAAGAAAAAUUGAGAAAAACCUGAAAUAUUCAGCUUUCCUGAAGUCAGAACAGGGAAAAAGAGAAAUAGCUCUGAAAAUGCAGAAUUCCUGGCUUCCAAACCAAAAGCAAAUAAAAUGUCUCAAAACACACAUUUUAAAAUCUUUAAAAGUUUACAAAGAAAACAGAGGUAUAGCAACUUUAAGAUUAUAAUUAGAUAAACAAGGUUAUGUUUUACCCAUUUCAUAGCCACAAAUGUCUUAACUGGGUUUUUAAUUGCUCAAGAUUUAGAAAUCUCUACUGAAGAGGAAAAGGAUACUGAAGAUAUAAAAGAUGACGCUCUCUUUAAAAUAAGGAAGCAUUAAAAAAAACAUAAAAAGAAAUAUAAUAUGGGAAAGGUUAUCCAUUAAGAGUACUAUCAAAAUAAGUAUA